GGGGUGGUGGCAUAGUUGGUUAGCGCGUAGGUCUCAUAGCUUGCACUAAGGAAUCAUGAGGUCGAGAGUUCGAUCCUCUCUCACCGCA
rnacentral:tRNA from 1 species